UGGAGAGGCAGCUCAGUGCUAGAGUACUGGCCUAAUAUGUGUGAGGCCUGGGUUCAAAUCCCAGCACUAUAA
rnacentral:tRNA from 1 species